AUUGAACGCUGGCGGCAUGCUUUACACAUGCAAGUCGAACGGCAGCGCGGGCUUCGGCCUGGCGGCAAGUGGCGAACGGGUGAGUAAUGCAUCGGAACGUGCCCAGUAGUGGGGGAUAGCCCGGCGAAAGCCGGAUUAAUACCGCAUACGACCUGAGGGUGAAAGCGGGGGACCGAAAGGCCUCGCGCUAUUGGAGCGGCCGAUGUCGGAUUAGCUAGUUGGUGGGGUAAAGGCUUACCAAGGCGACGAUCCGUAGCUGGUCUGAGAGGACGACCAGCCACACUGGGACUGAGACACGGCCCAGACUCCUACGGGAGGCAGCAGUGGGGAGUUUUGGACAAUGGGGGCAACCCUGAUCCAGCCAUGCCGCGUGCGGGGAGAAGGCCUUCGGGUUGUAAACCGCUUUUGUUCGGGAAGAAAUCCUCUGGGCUAAUACCCCGGGGGGAUGACGGUACCGGAAGAAUAAGCACCGGCUAACUACGUG
rnacentral:rRNA from 1 species